CACUACAGGAAAAAAGGGUUUAGGCGGCGUUUUUUUAACGACGCAUUUUAAAACGUCACUUUUUUAAUAUUUAACGACGUUUAUAAAACGUCGCCUAUUUAUUUAACAAAACGAUGCCGUUUUAUAAUAUGAAAAACGCCUUCAAAUGUGUUGUGCCUCACACGCUUGGUGUCCCCCUCUUUUCAAACCCUAAUUUUGAAUCUAAGACUCAGCUAAGACCCAAAUCUGGAGCGCUCUCUCUCUCUCUAAUAAAUCUCAGAGCGAUUUCGAAGCUCCACCGCUUGUUCAUUCUUAGAGCGAGGUAGCGAGAACCAACGAAGGUGAGCUCCACUGUCUCUCUUUCUCUCUAUCUCUCUCAACCCUCUCUAAACCCUUAUCAGAGCGAUUCAGAGAUUCAUCUCAAUGAUUUCAUCACAGAGAUUCAGAGCGAUUUCAUCUCAGUGAUUUCAUCGCAGAGAUUCAGAUCGGUCUCCACCAUCUGCACCAUCGUCUACUAAGAAUGCUUGGUUAUGAGGGGAUGGAAGUAAUUAAUCCUGAGGGAGGCAAAGAUGAUGCUGAAGAGGAAGCUCAGAGAGGAAGAUGGAAGCAGGAGUUGCAACAGGUACUCAAAUUGUAGAAGAGGAGGAGUUGUAGAAUAUCGCCAAUCCCACUUCCUUUAGACACUCUUGGAUGGCCUUUUCUCGGCGAAACCAUCUCCUUCAUCUCCUGUGCUUACUCAGACCACCCUGGGACCUUCAUGGACCGACGUCGUCACAUAUGAGGCUGCUACCAUAUUGUUGCCGCAGACCCCUGACAAGAUGAGGGAGUUAGUCGAGCUCACGUUUUACAAGCCGCCCAAGAUCCUGCCUUCAUGCAUCCUCACCGAUUUCAUUCGAAUGGCUUGUUAAGCUUUUUGUAGCAAGUGGGACAUCUUGGUACCCAGCAUAUUUGGAGACUUUUUGUAAAAAAACGCUACUUCCAUACUCAUGAUUUGGGCCAGAAAACUGGUUUGCUAAACCUUUCCAUUAAAAGGAUCUGGAAGAUCAUUUAU